UACGUAGGGGGCAAGCGUUGUCCGGAUUUAUUGGGCGUAAAGAGCGUGUAGGCGGCCAGGUAGGUCUGCUGUGAAAACUCGAGGCUCAACCUCGAGACGUCGGUUGAAACCGUAAGGCUAGAGUCCGGAAGAGGAGAGUGGAAUUCCCGGUGUAGCGGUGAAAUGCGUAGAUAUCUGGAGGAACACCGGUGGCGAAGGCGGCAUCCUGGACCGGUAUUGACGCUGAGGCGCGAAAGCCAGGGGAGCAAACGGG
rnacentral:rRNA from 1 species